AGUGAACGCUGGCGGUAGGCCUAACACAUGCAAGUCGAACGGCAGCACAGUAAGAGCUUGCUCUUACGGGUGGCGAGUGGCGGACGGGUGAGGAAUACAUCGGAAUCUACUUUUUCGUGGGGGAUAACGUAGGGAAACUUACGCUAAUACCGCAUACGACAUACGGGUGAAAGCAGGGGAUCUUCGGACCUUGCGCGAUUGAAUGAGCCGAUGUCGGAUUAGCUAGUUGGCGGGGUAAAGGCCCACCAAGGCGACGAUCCGUAGCUGGUCUGAGAGGAUGAUCAGCCACACUGGAACUGAGACACGGUCCAGACUCCUACGGGAGGCAGCAGUGGGGAAUAUUGGACAAUGGGCGCAAGCCUGAUCCAGCCAUACUGCGUGGGUGAAGAAGGCCUUCGGGUUGUAAAGCCCUUUUGUUGGGAAAGAAAAGCAGCAGGUUAAUACCCCGCUGUUCUGACGGUACCCAAAGAAUAAGCACCGGCUAACUUCGUG
rnacentral:rRNA from 1 species